rnacentral:rRNA from 1 species
GAUUUCUUUUUCUUUCAUACUGUUUUAAUACAAUAAGCUAGUAUAUAAAUUAAAGUGUAAGCAUUCCACCUCAAGAGUAAUGUGGCAACGCAGAAACUGAAAUCAUUAGACCGUUUCUGAAACCAGUAGUGAAGUAUGUUAUUUAAUUCGAUAAUCCUCGAAAAACCUUACCACAAUUUGAAUGUUAAUUUUUAUUAAUUAAUACAAGCGUUGCACGGCUGUUUUCAGUUAAUGUCGUGAGAUUUGGUUAGAUCCAUUAAAUUAACGUAAGCCCUUGCUUUAUUUAUAAAUAAAGUAGUUCACCGCUAGAUUGGAUUUGAUAAAAGGGACUAAGACAAGUCAUCAUGGCCUUAAUAUUGUGGGCUAUAGACGUGCCACAUAUGCCUAGACAAAGGGAUGCAAAAAUG